rnacentral:rRNA from 1 species
UACGAAGGUGGCAAGCGUUACUCGGAAUUACUAGGCGUAAAGGGCAGGUAGGUGGUUCGAUAAGUCUGUUGUGAAAGCCCCCGGCUCAACUGGGGAGGGUCACGCGAUACUGCUCGACUCGAAGGCAGGAGAGGGAAGUGGAAUUCCCGGUGUAGUGGUGAAAUGCGUAGAUAUCGGGAGGAACACCAGUGGCGAAGGCGACUUCCUGGCCUGUUCUUGACGCUGAGGCGCGAAAGCUAGGGUAGCAAACGGG